rnacentral:lncRNA from 1 species
CAAUCUGGUGGAGUAAAGGUCUAAAGAAGCGAGAUUCACAUUUCGAAAACAGGCAUCGCCUUGCCUGGUGAGUUGAAAUUUGGCAUCCUGUGGAGAUCACAGACUCGAGCAAUUGGCAUAGAUGACCACUGGGUGGCACUGAAUGACAAGGCUGAAGAGCCAUUCUCCCACGCACAAAACGAUCUGGUUAUCAGACGUUUUAAAUGCGGUGUUCACCAUGAAGAAACAAAGAAAGGAAGUCAGACCAAUGUAACUGUGUGGACACCCGCUUUGUUAAAAGGAUGGGAAAACCUUCUCCUUGGAGACCUUAGAUGAAAAAUUGAUGGUUGAAAGAUUUCAUAUGGAACAUACAACAAAAACCUCAAGAUCACCUUUUACUCAGUGUGGCACUCAGAACCACUACUACGCCUGAGGGGAACCUCCGCUCAUCCUCUGCCUGAGCCACUGG